GGCUUAUGGUAGGUGCUUAAUAAAAAUGUGUUGAAUGAACAAAUGAACAAAUGAAUGAAUUUACUGGGCGUUCAUGCACCACGGCACUGUGUAAGGCACUUUACAUAUUAUAUAUACAUUUGUUCAUCCUCACAAUUAUUAUCACUACAAAGUGACUCCUCCCUUUUUUUUUUGAGACAAGGUCUUGCUCUGUCACCCACUCCUGCUCACUGCAGCCUUGACCUCCCAGGCUCAAGUGAUCCCCCAGCCUCAGCUCCCUGAGUAGCUGGGACUACAGGGUGUGCCACCACACCUGGCUGGCUAAUUUUGUUUAUUUAUUUAUUUAUUUAUUUUGUAGAGCUGGGGUUUCGCCAUGCUGUCCAGGCUGGUCUCGAACUUCUGAGCUCAAACGAUCCGCCCACCUUGACCUUCCAAAGUGCUGGGAUUACAGGCAUGAGCCACUGUGCCUGGCCCAUGUGACUCCCAUUUUAAAGACAAAGGAAACCAGGUUAAACUCUGAGCUUUGCACAGCAGAGAGAAACUUCCACAUGCUGCUCCCUCUGCCUGGAAUCCCCUGCCUCCUAUUCAUUCCUACUUGAUGUACUUUCAGCAAACAAAGCCCCCAGGGCACAGCUGGGGAGAGUGAGGCUGAGGAGUGUUUGCAGGAAAGGAUAGGAGCCACAGAGAAGGGCCUGGCCAUGGGUCGGACAGUUCUGCUGUACAUUCACAGGCUCCACUGUGUACCAGGCCCGGCUGGUCACUGAGCACAUAUAGAUUAACUUAUGCCUAAAGAUUGUUCUCUUCCUUCAAAAACUAGCAGGUGGGCCGGGCGCGGUGGCUCACGCCUGUAAUCCCAGAACUUUGGGAGGCUGAGGCGGGCAGAUCACAAGGUCAGGAGUUUGAGACCAGCCUGACCAACAUGGGGGAAACCCUGUCUCUACUAAAAAUACAAAAGUUAGCCAGGCGUGGCGGCCCCCCAGCUACUUGGGAGGCUGAGGCAGGAUAAUCACUUGAACCCGGGACCGUCUCAAAAAAAAAAAAAAAAA
rnacentral:lncRNA from 10 species